UAGUAUGGGGAUCUGCCUGAUGGCGGGGGAUAACUACUGGAAACGGUAGCUAAUACCGCAUAAUGUCUGCGGACCAAAGCGGGGGACCUCCGGGCCUCGCGCCAUCAGAUGAACCCAUAUGGGAUUAGCUAGUAGGUGAGGUAACGGCUUACCUAGGCGACGAUCCCUAGCUGGUCUGAGAGGAUGAUCAGCCACACUGGAACUGAGACACGGUCCAG
rnacentral:rRNA from 1 species